rnacentral:rRNA from 1 species
GAUGAACGCUGGCGGCGUGCCUAAUACAUGCAAGUCGAGCGAACGGACGAGAAGUUGGCCUCGCUGAUGUUAGCGGCGGACGGGUGAGUAACACGUGGAUAACCCACGUAGAAGACUGUGAUCACUCCGGGAAACCGGAGCUAAUACCGGAUAACAUUUUGAACCGCAUGGUUCAAAAGUGAAAGACGGCCUUGCGGUCACUUAUAGAUGGAUCCGCGCUGCAUUAGCUAGUUGGUAAGGUAACGGCUUACCAAGGCAACGAUGAGUAGCUGACCUGAGAGGGUGAUCGGCCACACUGGAACUGAGACACGGCCCAGACUCCUACGGGAGGCAGCAGUAGGGAAUCUUGCGCAAUGGGCGAAAGCCUGACGGAGCAACGCCGCGUGAGUGAUGAAGGUCUUCGGAUCGUAAAACUCUGUUAUUAGGGAAGAACAUAUGUGUAAGUAACUGUGCACAGCUUGACGGUACCUAAUCAGAAAGCCACGGCUAACUACGUG